AGCGAACGCUGGCGGCAUGCCUAACACAUGCAAGUCGAACGAGACCUUCGGGUCUAGUGGCGCACGGGUGCGUAACGCGUGGGAACCUGCCCUUAGGUUCGGAAUAACUCCCCGAAAGGGGUGCUAAUACCGGAUAAUGUCUUCGGACCAAAGAUUUAUCGCCUUUGGAUGGGCCCGCGUUGGAUUAGCUAGUUGGUAGGGUAAAAGCCUACCAAGGCGACGAUCCAUAGCUGGUCGGAGAGGAUGAUCAGCCACACUGGGACUGAGACACGGCCCAGACUCCUACGGGAGGCAGCAGUGGGGAAUAUUGGACAAUGGGCGAAAGCCUGAUCCAGCAAUGCCGCGUGAGUGAUGAAGGCCUUAGGGUUGUAAAGCUCUUUUACCCGGGAUGAUAAUGACAGUACCGGGAGAAUAAGCUCCGGCUAACUCCGUG
rnacentral:rRNA from 1 species